rnacentral:rRNA from 1 species
CCUACGGGUGGCAGCAGUGGGGAAUAUUGCACCAUGGGGGAAACCCUGAUGCAGCGACGCCGCGUGAGUGAAGAAGUAAUUCGUUACGUAAAGCUCUAUCAGCAGGGAAGAAACACUGACCUUACGGUCAGCAGACGGUACCUGAGUAAGAAGCCCCGGCUAACUCCGUGCCAGCAGCCGCGGUAAUACGUAGGGGGCAAGCGUUAUCCGGAUGUACUGGGUGUAAAGGGAGCGUAGUCGGUGCGCCAAGUCUGGAGUGAAAUGACGCAGCUUAACUGCGGAACUGCUUUGGAAACUGGCGAACUAGAGUGCGGUAGGGGUAAGCGGAAGUCCUAGUGUAGCGGGGAAAUGCGUAGAUAUUAGGAGGAACACCGGUGGCGAAGGCGGCUUACUGGACCGUAACUGACGUUGAGGCUCGAAAGCGUGGGGAGCAAACAGGAUUAGAUACCCUUGUAGUC